rnacentral:lncRNA from 1 species
CAAGCAGGCCCUGGUGUUCCAGUGUGUGGGUUGUGGAGCCUUUUACCUGCAACGCCUUGGCAAAGCAUCUGGAGACCCUGGUGGCAGGGUCAAGUUCUCUGCAGCCUGUGGUCCUCCAGUGUCCCCUGAGUGUGAGCACUGUGGACAGAGACACCAGGUGGGCCCAGGUCAGGGGCAGUGGGCCAGGGUCCUGGAGCUUACACAUUCAUGCCUUUGCUCAGCUGUACCCCUGGUGUCCCCAGCUGGGGGGCCCCAUGUGGGCAGAGCCCAUCCACGACCUGGACUUCGUGGGCCAAGUUCUUGAGGCAGUGACCACUAAUCCUGGCCGCUUCCACACUUCCACAAGGAUCCAAGGUGUCCUUAGUGUGGUUACUGAG